AAUCUUAGGCGGAUAUAUGGAGUUGGUAGAUGCAAUCCUUAGGUGCGUAUGCCUUUUAACAUUGAUGAUAGUUAUUAAUUUGCAAACUUCUAAAUUUUUGUCAAUUUAUUUUAUCUGAUUCUAUUUUCCUCUACUGUUCUUAUUAGUUUUUGUUUAGACUAGUGAUAAUACCUCCAUACUCAAAUGUGUUGUUUAAGUCUUUCUUAUGUUGCAGAUGUUAUCAGUUACUAAUAAAAAACAAUAAUAUGAUGGGUUGGAGAUCGUAAAAAGGCGGACUGAACAACGUUUGUAUAGUUGCAAGGAGUAUCAACUUAAAAAAGAUCUACUUCGCUUUUAUGCCUAUUAUGCAACAAAUUAUCCAUGGCAAGAGCUUUGCCAAUAAGAGCUUUGGGAGUAGGUUCUUGUUUUCAUCAUCUAAGUCGUUUUUUCUCAUGGUUUGCAAUAAAACUAAGGUUUUAUAAACAAAAUCUCUUUAGUUUAAGAAUGAGCUGGCGAAGCACGUUGCUGCUGGUGGCGUUCAGAAGUAGGUCGUGGAAAGCAGGCAACCCUUUAUAUCUGAAGAAGGUGAAUUUUGGUGGUUCGAAAUUGUGAGUGCGGGUUUACCAAUUGAAUUGUUGGAACGAAAUUGUUGUAUGUAUGCUUGAAUUU